rnacentral:rRNA from 1 species
AUCUCAAAUCAGGUAGGACUACCCC